GGCUGAUGACACAGCACAUGAGGUCGAUACAUUCUGAAGGAGCUGGAGAAUGGGAAAGUCUGGAAAGCUGGCUAGCCUGGCAACCCUAGGGCAACAGAUCUAUGGCAUCAAAGCAACAGAAAGGACACAAAGUUGAGUUUCUGCCAUGAGCUGCUGUUGCCCAGAUAGGGGGAGUUCUGCAAACCCUUGGCCUGGAAGUGAAAACAGGACCCUCUCGUGCUCAGAGCUGCUGGAAACACAAAUGGCAGUUCCUGGAGCAGCAGAGAGCCCUGGAAGAUAUUGCAUUUGGUGGAGACUGGCAAGGAGCUCCACAGUCUCAUGGGAUAUGCGGACUGUUCAAACUGAAUUCUGUUCAAGACACAGGGCAGAGGAGGUCCUGGGGACAUGGCUUCUGGAAGUGGACAGAUUUCCCACCCCUGGGCUGCCUGAAAAUUCUUGUUCUGCCAAGAAGGUGUGGAGAACCUGAAAGCUGUUUAGAAAGAGGAGA